rnacentral:misc_RNA from 1 species
GCAUCGAUGAAGAGCGCAGCCAGCUGCGUGAAUUAAUGUGAAUUGCAGGACACACUGAACAUCGACACCUUGAACGCACAUUGCGGCUCUGGCUCACUGCCAGAGCCACGCCUGUCCGAGGGUCGGCGAACAAGUCAUCGCCGUAGACCGAUUAGCUUCGGUCUCGGCGCGUUGGCGAGUCGCGCGGGCACAACGUCCCGCUCGUCCGCCGUAGACUUCAGCCUCUCUCUUGGUGGCCAUGCGAAGUGGCGCAGGGACAGGGCUCGAACGGGCCUUCUGUUUAGCGCACGUCUGCGACGGAAACGAAGCGGACGACCUUCGCCUUUGGCAGCCCCUGGCCCCUAUCAAAAUAUUGAUACGGGGGAGGGAGAGCGCGGCUUCACAGGCCGCGAACAGUAGACACGCUCCCUGGUGAGUAGUCUCGCAUAUCCGACCUCGGAUCAGACGGGGAUACCCGCUGAAUUUAAGCAUAUCAGUAAGCGGAGGAAAAGAAACU